AGAGGGAACCCACCCCUUCUAGAAAAAACCCUAAGAUACCCUAAAUUCUCUCUGGCUGAAGAAGAAUGGCGACCCCCUCCCUUUUACAACCAGAAAAAACCAGCCGCCUCUUUCCUCUUCUUCUUCUUCUUUUCUCUCAAGCGGCCACCUGAUUCCACCUUCCUCCUCAAAUUAGCUUCACAAACAAAGAAAAAGAUUUGAAAAACCAGGGGUUUUGAGAAAUAUCUCGUUAUCUGCCGAUUUGUUGGACGAAUCCAGUUGGUUUUCGAUGUCAAAUCGAGUUCUUAAGGGGCUAUUUGUUGUUGCUGUUGCCGAUUGUUGAGUAGCUGAGCUCCAUUCCUCAUUCUAGACCUUUAUUUGGUCGUCCACUACUGUUCUGCUAUCAUUAGAAACCAAAAGGGGUUAUUUGGGCUUCAGAUGUAAACUUUUGUCAGUGAUGGACUCUUAAGUAUGUAAGUGGAGGCAGUACCAUCCUAGAACAUAUGCACCAGUAAGUGAAAAUAUUAACGGACCGAGAAGCUUCAGUAGAUUCUCCUCCAUUCCGCUAUCUUGAUCAUGUUCGCACCUGUCCUACCUUCUCUUUUGGAGCGUCUGUAGGCUCACGUGUAGCGACUGUAGCAUUCCUAAGGCACUAGGGGAGGUCAUUGGUCGGUUUGGUACGAUUUUGAAAGAUUGUAUUUUCGGUUUUGGUUUUAAAAAUGUUUACUAAUAUCAUAUCAAAAUAAAUUUGGUAUGGUUCGGUUUAUUAAUUUUCAGUUUUGGUUUGUGUUGUU